rnacentral:rRNA from 1 species
CCUACGGGGGCUGCAGUGGGGAAUAUUUGGCAAUGGAGGCAACUCUGACCCAGCAAUGCCGCGUGAGUGAUGAAGGUAAUUUUAUUGUAAAGCUCUUUUCUUUGGAACGAAUAAAUGACGGUACCAAAGGAAUAAGCCCCGGCUAACUCCGUGCCAGCAGCCGCGGUAAUACGGGGGAUGCGAGCGUUAUCCGGAUUUAUUGGGUUUAAAGGGUGCGUAGGCGGAAUGCCAAGUCAGCGGUAAAAUCGCGGGGCUCAACCUCGCUCCGCCGUUGAAACUGGCGUUCUUGAGUGGGCGAGAAGUAUGCGGAAAGCGAGGUGUAGCGGUGAAAUGCAUAGAUAUCACGCAGAACUCCGAUUGCGAAGGCAGCAUACCGGCGCCCAACUGACGCUGAAGCACGAAAGCGUGGGUAUCGAACAGGAUUAGAUACCCUUGUAGUC